rnacentral:sRNA from 1 species
CCAGAUCGGAUCAUGCUUCCUUUUUUAUUUUUUAUUUUUGCUUUUAAGUUCUCGCCAUUGCGACACUUACUAUUUUAUCGUUAGCCACCAACGCAUUCUACGUUUCUGGAUGAUAGGUGAUAUAAGCCUGCGCUUGUCUGGCGAGAAACAAUCACAUCGCAUCCUGGAGGACCUCACCCGUCACUGAUAGCAAACCGUUCGCAAAUCCAUCGAUAACCUAUUCCUGCCACAAGAAAAUAUAUAUAUAUAUAUAAUAAAGGUCACCCGCCCCGCGGGGUCUUCACCCGCAAUACAUCCCCGAGACGACGGCGACGACGGCGGCGGCGGCGGAGAAGAAGUAGAAAUGCGACUGAAAUCGCUUCCACUCCUCCCGCUGUUGUUAUUUACCACAAUCGACGCCAAGAAUGCGUAUACAGAUACCUCCCGUUUCAGCCAACCUCUUUUCGACUGGCGCAAUGUCCAGAGGGAUUCCAUAGGACUGGUGAAACGACAGGGCAGUUGUCCGGCGGGGUUUAACAGCUGUGCGCUCCUCGGGGCCGCGGAGGCAUGUUGCCAACGGGACACGGUCUGUUCGCGCGACGAUGCAAAUAACAUGGCCUGCUGUCCCAGCGGGGCGGCGUGUACGGGUCAUUUAUCAGGCCCCUCUCAGACCUCCGCCUCCUCAAACUUCAUGUUCCCACAACCAGGCACCGCAACCACCACGCCGCCAACAGGCCCCACAAGCCCAGCGGCGCCAACGGUCCCCAACGCC